GUUUGAUUCUGGCUCAGGAUGAACGCCGGCGGUGUGCCUAAUACAUGCAAGUCGUACGCACUGGCCCAACUGAUUGAUGGUGCUUGCACCUGAUUGACGAUGGAUCACCAGUGAGUGGCGGACGGGUGAGUAACACGUAGGUAACCUGCCCCGGAGCGGGGGAUAACAUUUGGAAACAGAUGCUAAUACCGCAUAACAACAAAAGCCACAUGGCUUUUGUUUGAAAGAUGGCUUUGGCUAUCACUCUGGGAUGGACCUGCGGUGCAUUAGCUAGUUGGUAAGGUAACGGCUUACCAAGGCGAUGAUGCAUAGCCGAGUUGAGAGACUGAUCGGCCACAAUGGAACUGAGACACGGUCCAUACUCCUACGGGAGGCAGCAGUAGGGAAUCUUCCACAAUGGGCGCAAGCCUGAUGGAGCAACACCGCGUGAGUGAAGAAGGGUUUCGGCUCGUAAAGCUCUGUUGUUGGAGAAGAACGUGCGUGAGAGUAACUGUUCACGCAGUGACGGUAUCCAACCAGAAAGUCACGGCUAACUACGUGCCAGCAGCCGCGGUAAUACGUAGGUGGCAAGCGUUAUCCGGAUUUAUUGGGCGUAAAGCGAGCGCAGGCGGUUGCUUAGGUCUGAUGUGAAAGCCUUCGGCUUAACCGAAGAAGUGCAUCGGAAACCGGGCGACUUGAGUGCAGAAGAGGACAGUGGAACUCCAUGUGUAGCGGUGGAAUGCGUAGAUAUAUGGAAGAACACCAGUGGCGAAGGCGGCUGUCUGGUCUGCAACUGACGCUGAGGCUCGAAAGCAUGGGUAGCGAACAGGAUUAGAUACCCUGGUAGUCCAUGCCGUAAACGAUGAGUGCUAGGUGUUGGAGGGUUUCCGCCUUUCAGUGCCGGAGCUAACGCAUUAAGCACUCCGCCUGGGGAGUACGACCGCAAGGUUGAAACUCAAAGGAAUUGACGGGGGCCCGCACAAGCGGUGGAGCAUGUGGUUUAAUUCGAAGCUACGCGAAGAACCUUACCAGGUCUUGACAUCUUGCGCUAACCUUAGAGAUAAGGCGUUCCCUUCGGGGACGCAAUGACAGGUGGUGCAUGGUCGUCGUCAGCUCGUGUCGUGAGAUGUUGGGUUAAGUCCCGCAACGAGCGCAACCCUUGUUACUAGUUGCCAGCAUUAAGUUGGGCACUCUAGUGAGACUGCCGGUGACAAACCGGAGGAAGGUGGGGACGACGUCAGAUCAUCAUGCCCCUUAUGACCUGGGCUACACACGUGCUACAAUGGACGGUACAACGAGUCGCAAGCUCGCGAGAGUAAGCUAAUCUCUUAAAGCCGUUCUCAGUUCGGACUGUAGGCUGCAACUCGCCUACACGAAGUCGGAAUCGCUAGUAAUCGCGGAUCAGCAUGCCGCGGUGAAUACGUUCCCGGGCCUUGUACACACCGCCCGUCACACCAUGGGAGUUUGUAACGCCCAAAGUCGGUGGCCUAACCUUUAUGGAGGGAGCCGCCUAAGGCGGGACAGAUGACUGGGGUGAAGUCGUAACAAGGUAACC
rnacentral:rRNA from 1 species